rnacentral:rRNA from 1 species
AUUGAACGCUGGCGGCAGGCCUAACACAUGCAAGUCGAGCGGAUGAAGGGGGCUUGCUUCCGGAGUCAGCGGUGGACGGGUGUGUAAUACCUAUGAAUCUGCCUGCUAGUGGGGGAUAACGUCCGUAAACGGGCGCUAAUACCGCAUACGUCCUGAGGGAGAAAGUGGGGGAUCUUCGGACCUCACGCUCUCAGAUGAGCCUAGGUCGGAUUAGCUAGUUGGUGGGGUAAAGGCCAACCACGGCGACCAUCCGUAACGGGUCUGAGUGGCUGAGCAGUCCCCUUGGCCCUGAGCCACCGCCCAGACUCCUACGGGAGGCAGCAGUGGGGAAUAUUGGACAAGGGGCGAAAGCCUAACCUAGCCAUGCCGGUUGUGUAAAGACGGUCUUGGGAUUGUAAAGCAGUUGUAGUUGGGAGGAAGGGCAGUAAGGUAAAACGUUGAUGUUUUGACGUUACCAACAGAAUAAGCACCGGCUAACUACGUG